ACAGGCACUCGUUGGUGUCUCUGAGCAAUUGGGUUAGCAGAGUGCACCUGUGCAUCACAGGUGGUACACAGUGCUGCAGAAUCUGCGUGGCAUUCAAGCACUGCGGCUGCACUCUCACAGGAUACACAGACAUGCACACGCUCAUGGGACGAUGCCAAACGAUUAGCAGAAUGAACCUGUGUGUCACAUGAUGCGCAGAGAUAUGCAGCAUCAGCAUGGCAGUAUACUGCGCUUGGUGCUGCAUGACAUCCAUCGCAUGGCCUGGUCCAUGGAUAACUUCUCCUUUUGGCUUCCUGCUCGAAAAGGUCACAAUUGAAAUCACAAUUCAUUAACAUAUAAACCUUGCAACUCGUAGGUGGAGAGGUCCUAGUGAAGAUUGUGGCUAGUAUCUAGUGUGUCUAUUCAUCUGCGUAUGCAUCUCCUCCUGUUCUUCUGUCUCUUAUGGCGUUUGUUCUUCUAUUUGAACUUAAUUGGGAGUGAGUGGGUGGGAGCAGUCAGUGUUGGAAUUUCAGUGUGCAGUACUAAUAGGAGGGUGGCAGCGGCAUCCAGUGAAUGAGAAGUGGCGUACUGGCGUCAUUCGAGGGGGCGAGGAAUGCUGCAUGUGUAUCUUGUGGUUGUCUGUGGAUAUUUGUGUUAUGCUGGUCAAUCCUCAAAUGCUACAUCAUUUUUUUGAUAAGCAUUUGCUGCAAUUUGUCACACCCAUUAUUUUUUUAAGAAUAAAAGGCUUGGGUAACUGAAUUAGUGUUAAUACAUUUAUAAAAACCCAUUAUUUGGAGACUUAUUAAUUUUUACACAUUAUGUUGAAGUUGAGUUAUGUUCCCAUUAGUUUAUAAACCCAAAGAUAAGAAGAAUUAGAAGGUACUUCGUAUAAGAAAAGCAAACAAAGUGUGGAAGAUGCUCCUUGGUCUCUUUCUGCAUAUCUUUUGCAAAAGAGAAAUGAAGGAAGGGUCUACCGGAUUCCAAAGUUUGAGGUUUUGGGCCAUUCGUUGGCACAUCCUUUAGAUGUUCUACCUUUUGGAACCUUAGCAAGAGGAAGGAAGUGGAGAUACAUGAGAAAGGUUUUAAAGCACCCUGCCAUGUCACUAGAUAGUUUCUUUAGGACUGUAUAUAUCUGCAAAUAUCUUAAGGUGAUGUUCAGUGCAGGAAAUGAAUUUACUGGCAUCUUUUACAUUUUCUUAGAUGGUGUUAUUCAUAUGAAUUUGGUUUUCAAAUCUCUAUCUGAUCUCUUUCAUGACUAAGCUAUCUGUUAUUUAAAAUCCUGUUAACUUGCGCUACUGCAACGCUAGCCUUAAAAUGACUGUUUUUUGUAGGUCGAAGUCUUGGAAUAAAUUGGCUGAGAGACUACCUAUGAUUCAUAGUUUGAUGUUGGGUGGUCGAUACAGUUUAACUUUACAAAUAGGGUCUUGUUGAUUGUGGGACACUAAUACUAUGUUUCUAUUUUGAGAUAGGGUGGCCAAGGUGGGUAUUUGCAUAAUCCCUUCAUCAUUGAGUAAAUAACUAUCUUGGGCGUUGUAGCUAAAAAGUCUGUCUACCUGAAGUUCUGAUUUCUAAACAAAGCUCAAGUCUGCCGACAAACUUAUAUGGGACAUACUGGAGAAGCUUACAGAUUUAUACUGUUCAUUUAUACGAACUAUGCUUUUCACAUACAGUUGUUAGUACUGUGAUAAUCUUUACCUAUAUGUAGUCCGUAUGAAUUCAGCUAAAAGAAACCAGUAACAUUAUUUUUCUGAAUGACAUAACUUUGAACUAAUAUAUGUUUACCAUAACCGUGCCUUCAGUGAUAUUGUAACUUGUAAGUCUAUUCUCUAUUUGCAAUUUAGUGUAUGAAAGAAUAUUAUCAAGUUCUAUUGUCUGUAUAGAUAUAUAGUUAGAUGAUUCUAGAUGUAUGAUAUGUGAAGUGUCAUAUGAUGAACACUCUACUGAGUGUCCUUUUCUCCCCCAAAUGCUUUUGCUGGAUUGGAAUUGGAUUACAACGUGCGAUGUGAUGAUGUGGCUCGCUCCUCUGCUUUGUGUUGCACCCACUUGUUUAUAAGAUUAUAUCAGGGUGAUCUGACCCAUUAUCUACCCUUUGACAGGGGUUCUCUUAGCCUCUUCCGCUCAUAUUACCUCACUUAUGUGGGUGUGAAUGACAUGGCUGCCAAGGAUACAUCACUGCAGAACAUGUCCGAACCAUGACUAUGAAUUUUAUGAUAGGUGUCAAUAAGUUUAAUGCAUGUCCUUACAAAAUAAUAUUUAGUACCAUGCUACCUUUGAACAGAUUUAGUUCCUUAGUUUUGGCCAUAGGCAAUACUGGACACAAUCCCCAGUAAUUUCAAGAUGACAUCCAGUUACAGCCCUUUUUCUGAGGCAUACCUCGGCAUCCUUGAUGGUGGUGGCGACAACAUCAGGGUCAUGGAGGACUGCACGCCAUCAACUUUGACGAUACCUACCUUGAUUCCCUCAUAAGAGGUGAGCGCCUCUUGAACUUCGACCAGGAGAUGUGGUUUCACAGAUUCUAGCUUCCACAUUCUGUGGUGGAGACUGAUAAGAUCACCGACCCUGCUGGUGGAACAUAGUUGCAUGGAGACAGCAGUUCACAUAACAUCUUCAUUGCUCUCUCUCGAAAGAUUUUCUAUGUUCGACAUAUCAAAUUGAAGUUCGUUUCUUCUGUACAGGUCCUUCUGGAAACAACUGACGAUGUUUCUUGCCUUUCAUGGCCUAUCAUGGUGUCAUCUUGGUCCAGAGAGCUCAACUGCCUGUACCAGCAAUGACGAAUCGUCCGUCAGGUCGGAGUAGCAGCGCCC